GAAUUGUUCACAAUGGGCGCAAGCCUGGUGACGCAACGCCGCGUGGGGGAUGAAGGUCUUCGGAUUGUAAACCCCUGUCGAAUGGGACGAAAGACCCGGGAGCUAAUCAUCCCGGGAGUGACGGUACCGUUAAAGGACGCCACGGCUAACUCUGGGCCAGCAGCCGCGGUAAUACAGAGGUGGCAAGCGUUGUUCGGAAUUACUGGGCGUAAAGGGCGCGUAGGCGGCCAUCUAAGUCAGACGUGAAAUCCCCCGGCUUAACCUGGGAACUGCGUCUGAUACUGGAAGGCUCGAGUUUGGGAGAGGGAUGUGGAAUUCCAGGUGUAGCGGUGAAAUGCGUAGAUAUCUGGAGGAACACCGGUGGCGAAGGCGGCAUCCUGGACCAACACUGACGCUGAGGCGCGAAAGCUAGGGGAGCAAACGGG
rnacentral:rRNA from 1 species